rfam:Colletotrichum higginsianum, IMI 349063, WGS project CACQ02000000 data, contig: cont1.512
GCACCAAAUGAUGAUCCUCCAUUUACACUAUUUUCUGGUACCUCUUAUUUUAAAGCCUUCGGGCUUCAUGAAUGAACAGGACUUCUGACA